rnacentral:rRNA from 1 species
CCUACGGGUGGCAGCAGUGGGGAAUAUUGCGCAAUGGGCGAAAGCCUGACGCAGCGACGCCGCGUGAGGGAUGAAGGUCUUCGGAUCGUAAACCUCUGUCAGCAGGGAAGAACGGUCACUGUGCUAAUCAGCAGUGAAUUGACGGUACCUGCAAAGGAAGCACCGGCUAACUCCGUGCCAGCAGCCGCGGUAAUACGGAGGGCGCGAGCGUUAAUCGGAAUUACUGGGCGUAAAGCGCUCGUAGGCGGUAUGUCAAGUCAAGGGUGAAAUCCCCGCGCUCAACGUGGGAACUGCCUUUGAAACUGGCAAACUGGAGUGUGUGAGAGGAUAGUGGAAUUCCAGGUGUAGGGGUGAAAUGCGUAGAUAUCUGGAGGAACAUCAGUGGCGAAGGCGACUAUCUGGCACAUAACUGACGCUGAGGAGCGAAAGCGUGGGUAGCAAACAGGAUUAGAUACCCGGGUAGUC